UCCCUGUGUGCUCUGUGUGUGCUCCCUGUGUGCUCACUGGGGCCAUACCCCCUCACUGGGGCUGUCAAAAAAAUGAUGAAAGAUGUUUUUGGGCUGAUUUAAAAUGUUCUGCAGAAUGAGGUGUUUUCUUAGCUCUGGUUUUACAUGCGGGGGCCAGAGAAGGGAAGAAGUUGGGCUGGUUUCAUUCCCCAGACAAAAAAGAAAAAAGGUUUUUGGGGAAAAAACUGGCAGUUUAAACAACAUCUCUUUCAGUGACACGAGAGAAGUGAAUCACAGAACAAUAGAAACACAGAAUUGCUUAGGUUGGAAAAACCUUUAAGAUCAUUGAGUCAAACCAUUAACUUAGCACUGCCAAGGCCACCACUAACUGGUGUCCCUUGGCACCACAUCUACGCGUCUGUUAAAUCCCUCCAGGAAUCAGAGAGUCACAAAAUGGUGUGGGUCAGGAGGGACCUUAAAGCCCAUCCAGUUCAACCUUGGUCUAGAAGGAAGACUCCUUCCACUAGACCACAUUGCUCCAAGCCCUGUGAAACUUGGCCUUGAACACUUUCAAUAUUAUUUUCUCCAGAGUUCUUCCUGCAAUUUGGUUCUGAGGGUUUUUGUCCAUCAACAAGCAACACUUUGUUCUGAGAUACCCACACAGAGCAUUUCUAACCAAAGUGGCACUACCUGUGAGCAGGUCUGCAGGAGAGGGGCCUUGCUGCCAGGGGCUCUGGUACUUGUUUCCUCCAUGAGAUUAACUCAUUCGAGGUGCCAAAACACGGCAUAAGUUUCAUUUGUGUGUGUCUGGAUUUGUUGCUUGCAUUCCUCUGAUCCUCCCAGGUGUUUCAGGGCAUGACAGCACUCCUGAGCAUCUGUGGGAUGUGUCGAGGUUUGCAAGGUUUAUUUGUCUUCUGCAGAGAAUUUCCAGAGUAGAAGUGAAAGGCUGUAGCUGUUGUCACAAGUACUGCACUUCCUGAGGUACCAGAGCUGGGGGAGUUUUCAGAGAAAUGUGCCUGACAGCCAGACUGUCUUUAUUGCUGCUUAUUGCUAAAGCAUUGCUAAGCGUGAUGUGACCUGGCUGGAACGAGCAAGGGCUCAGCUCUGAUGGAGGGAAAUGACCAGCUGAAAUGUAGCUCUGCACGGCAGGAAGGUUCCAAAAGGAUGUGAAGACGUGGGGGCAGCGGGACGGGAGCCCAAGGGAGGGGGCGAGGGCGUGUGCUCCCACAGCGGGUGCAGCUGGGGUUAGCUGGGUUUCUCUUCCUUUUUCUGCCUUUCACAAUCCCACUGGGUUUGUGAGGGGGAUGGGGAGCAGGGCUGAGGUGGGAGACAGGUGUCUGGGGGCUAUGAUGUGGCUGAAGGGAUGGAGGACCCUGCUCCUGACUCCCUGUUCCCCAGCCUGUGCCGGUGUCCGGAGUUGCCGGUGUGGGCACAGAAGGGUGAUGGGCUGGUGCAGCCCUGGGGCCCCUCUCCUGGCGUCAGUGGGGCUGCAGGUGCCAGGGGACCACAGCACUGGGGCUGAGCCACAGCUCUGCAGCGGGGAGGCCACGUGCUCAGGGGUGUCCUGAACUGAGCAGAAACUCAAGAAGGGGACAAGAGCAGGUGCAGAUCCCACAUCAGCUGUAACCGGCAGCUCCUCAUUCUGGCCCGACAGAAUCUCAGGCUCGAUGUCACCACUUGGUUUUUUUAAUUGGAAAACUGAAUUAAUCUGAACCAAGCUUCUGGAUUGCUUGCAGAAGGUUUAUUGUUCUCAGUGCAGUUGUCGUUAGCAACUGUACAUUAACACUAAGGGUAUGACUAAUAGAUCUUCUUUGAGUGAUGGCAACGAAGAAGGAAGUGGACAGUGGUCACUGUGAGUGAGAAGUUAUGUGCCCUGCCUGUGCCUGCCAGGCUGAUGCAGGGUGCCAGGAUUUGGCAUGGCAGUAAAAUCACUGAAUACCAGUGAUUUUAUACCACAAAUACCAGAAUGAUCCACCACUGCCCUGGGCAGCCCUGCCAGGGGUUGACUCUUUCCUUUUCCUACCGGCUGUCAUGGGAAGCAGCAUCCUACCACCUGGAAAAGGUGUGUGGUGGGGCAGCGUUGCUGGUGACUGUUCCUCACCUGCACACGCUUCCUCAGUGGGUGUGAUGCCUUGUGAACAGCGAGGCCCCUCAGUGCACCAAGGGCUGUUUGAUCUGGGGAGGUGUUUUUGUCCUCCACGCUGCAGUGACCAGUGCAGUUGGCAGCGCACAGGAGAUGCCAGCACUCUUCAGGAGCAGGGGUCCAUCCUGCUCACUCCUCAGAAGAAGGGGUCUGUCCCAUUCCAGCUGACGGUGGCACCUGCCCACUUGGUCCUGAUUGCCAUCUCCAGGGCUGGGCACCUCUUCCCUGGGCUGCAGGCGUCUGCACUUGGGGCCUCUUCCCAGUGAUGCGAGUGAGUGUCUGAGGAGGAAAUGCUGUUAAAAAAAAAAGUCUAAAAAACCCCAACCCCCCUCAAAAAGGUUUCGGCGAAGGUUAAAAGCAGAAGGUUCUGCAGCCACAUGGGUGCAGAUGUGCUGCUGCCCUGCCCCAGGGAGCUGGGGGAGCCUGGCAGGGCUCCCAGGCCGGGGCUGCCCUGGAGCCGUUGGCCCCCCCGGGAAAUUCCGAGGGUGCUGUUUGCAUGUUUGUUUUCUGAGCAGAUGCACAGAUAAUAUCUGUGGCCAUGCUGGGUUUCAUGAUGGUGGAUCCUGAUUCACCUUUCCUUGCAGAUUUACCCCUUAGUUCCAAGGUUCUGAUCACUUUAACUGCUGCAGUGAAAGGAGAGCGAGGACGAGGGAGGCAUUCAUUGACGAAGCUCCGCCGCCCGCUCCCAGCGCAGGAAGCCCACCGGGCCUCGCUGCCCUCGGGCCUCCCCGGCCCCACCGCCGAGCUCCCGGGGGCUCGCCCGUCCCGUCAGGAGGAGGCUGAGCACGGCCUGCGGGGACAGAGCCCGCGGUCACACCGUGGGGACCGGGGCAAACGCCCUUUGCAGGUGGGGUCCCACUCCCAGCUCUGUCGUGCCUGUCGGGAGCAGGGGGACGCCAGGCUGCAGGUGGCUUUUUUGUUAUUAUUGUUCUUAUCGUCAUCAUCACCAUCAUCAUCAUCACCAUCAUCAUCUGUUUUUUGCAUGCACAGCCAUGAUUAGAAUUUGCAAAAUAUUUUUAUAUGACCUUAUGCCUUUUUUCCUCUGCAUUAAAAAGAGAGAAUUUUUUUCCUAAAUCAAAUGUGGGAAACAUUUGAUUGUGGAUUGUAGCUGAUCCUACCUCUGUGCAGGUGACAUUUCCAGAACUGACGUUCAGCAGAGGAGCUGUGUCACCCAAAUCCUCUUGGACCCUGUACGGCCAAACACAGAACGUCAGGGCAGUGCCAGGCUGGUGCUGGAAGUGAUGCUGCAUGUCCCUGCCUGGCUGAUGGGAAAGGGAGGAAAGGAAAAGCCAUUUCAGAAGAUGUAACCAAACUAAAGGAAAAUAUUUAAAAAGUGAAAUAUACCUUUCAAGUGUCCUAGAGAAAAGUAAACUGUAUAAAAAUAGGAUCACUCCGUGGUUUCCUUCACACCUGAACUGGAAAAAGAAACCAGGGAUCACAGGGAAGAAAUUAUGGCCAGUAAAUCAUGUUUAAUUAAAACAAUUAAUCUGCUUCAAUACAGCCUUAGGUGAGUGUGUUGAGCCAGAUGAGUAAGGUGUUAUUCCAGGAAGAUUUUAUAACUAAUUUUGUUGAAUAGGAUCAGGUAAAAAAAGAAACUUCCAGUUAUUGGCUAAAUGGGUUUUGUACAUUUUUUCCCCCAGAUUUUUGCUGAGGUUGCAAGGAAUCACAUCUUGUAUUUCAGUGAAAUACAAAAUGCUGUCCCAUUUACCCAGUGUUUGUGGGAUGAGAGAGCUGGAAUAGUGGCUAAAGUCCCAGGGAUUUUAGUGGGAGCAGGAUCUCUUCCCAAAGGAAGAUCCAUGAACUUUACUGUAUGUUAACACCAUAUCCUGCUGAUGGUGGCACUUGCCCUCAAAAGGUCUGAUUUGAAUGGGAAAUAAGAUGUAAUUAAGCAAGAAAAUAACUUGGAUAGAGCAAAUAUCCCCACUUACACAGUUUACGUGGUGGGAGAUGAACUCCUGAGCUGCAGCUUUCUCCGAGAACUCAAAGAGCCAGAUCUGUCGGGGAAGGUGGUGUAAAGGAGAUGUGAAUUAUAUAAAAAAGCUGA